CGGCCGGGAACUCAAAGGAGACUGCCAGUGAUAAACUGGAGGAAGGUGGGGAUGACGUCAAGUCAUCAUGGCCCUUACGAGUAGGGCUACACACGUGCUACAAUGGCGCAUACAAAGAGAAGCGACCUCGCGAGAGCAAGCGGACCUCAUAAAGUGCGUCGUAGUCCGGAUUGGAGUCUGCAACUCGACUCCAUGAAGUCGGAAUCGCUAGUAAUCGUAGAUCAGAAUGCUACGGUGAAUACGUUCCCGGGCCUUGUACACACCGCCCGUCACACCAUGGGAGUGGGUUGCAAAAGAAGUAGGUAGCUUAACCUUCGGGAGGGCGCUUACCACUUUGUGAUUCAUGACUGGGGUGAAGUCGUAACAAGGUAACCGUAGGGGAACCUGCGGUUGGAUCACCUCCUUACCUUAAAGAA
rnacentral:rRNA from 1 species